rnacentral:rRNA from 1 species
GACGAACGCUGGCGGCGUGCUUAACACAUGCAAGUCGAACGGUGACGAGGAGCUUGCUCCUCUGAUCAGUGGCGAACGGGUGAGUAACACGUGAGCAACCUGCCCCAGACUCUGGGAUAACAGUUGGAAACAGCUGCUAAUACCGGAUACGAGACGGAGAGGCAUCUCUACCGUCUGGAAAGUUUUUCGGUCUGGGAUGGACUCGCGGCCUAUCAGCUAGUUGGUGAGGUAAUGGCUCACCAAGGCGACGACGGGUAGCCGGCCUGAGAGGGCGACCGGCCACACUGGGACUGAGACACGGCCCAGACUCCUACGGGAGGCAGCAGUGGGGAAUAUUGCACAAUGGGCGAAAGCCUGAUGCAGCGACGCCGCGUGAGGGAUGACGGCCUCGGUUGUAACGUACUUCUACGUCAGGAAGGAAGACGAAAGUAGACGGUAACCGUACGGUCCAGAAGAAAGGACGACCGGGACCGUAACCGUAACCGUUACGGCCGACGACCGAACGCCGGACCGGGUAACGUAAGUUA